GAGUGAGUGGCGCAAUGGAUAGCGCGUCGCCCUCCGGAGGCGGAGGUUGCGGGUUCGAGUCCCGUCUCGCUCU
rfam:Eimeria praecox, Houghton, WGS project CBTT01000000 data, contig: Eph_contig62_20